AGAGUUUGAUUAUGGCUCAGGAUGAACGCUAGCUACAGGCUUAACACAUGCAAGUCGAGGGGCAGCAUGUGGUUGCUGCAACCAAUGAUGGCGACCGGCGCACGGGUGAGUAACGCGUAUCCAACUUCCCCUUAGUAGGGCAUAGCCCGUAGAAAUGCGGAUUAAUACCCUAUGUUGUAUAUUGAGGACAUCUGAUUUAUACCAAAGGUUCACCGCUAAGGGAUGGGGAUGCGUCUGAUUAGGUUGUUGGCGGGGUAACGGCCCACCAAGCCUACGAUCAGUAGGGGUUCCGAGAGGAAGGUCCCCCACAUUGGAACUGAGACACGGUCCAAACUCCUACGGGAGGCAGCAGUGAGGAAUAUUGGUCAAUGGACGAGAGUCUGAACCAGCCCAAGUAGCGUGCAGGAUGACGGCCCUAUGGGUUGUAAACUGCUUUUAUACGGGGAUAAAGUGACCCACGUGUGGGUUUUUGUAGGUACCGUAUGAAUAAGGACCGGCUAAUUCCGUGCCAGCCGCGGC
rnacentral:rRNA from 1 species